UUCUGGCCGGGGGAACGGGCGGCGCGGCGAGGUGGUCGCCUGGGGCGCGGCGUGCGGCGGGGCGGCGGCGGCGCGAGAGCUUGAACGGGGUGGCGACGCUCCGGAGGAGGGAUUAGGCGGAGCAUCUGGUGGUGGAGGAGAUCCUCACCGACGAGCGCCGGCGCCGCCCAGGCCCCAAAUCGAGCUCGAGUUCCUCGGGGUAAGCCCUCGACGGCAUCCGCUACCUCCGGCCUCCGGGCGGCGAGUGUUUAAUUGACUUCCUGUGCCGUGCAUGCAGCCCAAGCCGGGC
rnacentral:lncRNA from 1 species